UUCAUUGUUGUUCUUCCACAUUUCAAAGUCGCCGUAUCCGUUUAUCUUCAUCUGCAAAUCUUAUCAUUUCUCCUCUCACCCCUUGACCUCCCAUGUCGUUCAAUGUAUCCCUUUUAAUUCACUAAUAAAUAUUGUCGUUUAACCAAAAAACGUUGUCGACCUCUUCGUUUCUUCGCGUCAAAUCUAUAAAUUGGAGAGGGCUGAGAGUUGGAUGAACCUUCGCAGAAACUCUCAGUAAUCUCUUUCAUCAAGUGUAUAAAGAAUCUUCCAAAAUGUCUUCUUUUCAUUGUUGCGCAAUCAGUCUUCGACGCUCUGUCGAUCGUAACAGUUCAUUGUUGCUUGGCUUCUCCGUUUUUUGGACUCGGAAAAAGCAUGGUGAAUUCAUGGGAAUUAAUCUACUUCUCUCUGAUGAAAAGCUUAGGAUGAUAAAAAAGAAGGAACUUGUCUCAAUAGGAAAUCUAAACAAUUCAUCUCCAGCUCUGACGAGAAGUUAACAUUCAUGGUUCCAACAAUGUUUAAUAUGUGUUUCUGUUUUAGAUAAGAAUUGUUAAAUUCAAUAUAUGAUCUUAGUGAAGACACAAUAAGCUGGUUUUAUUUGCAAGGCCUAGAUUGUUGAGGUCCUGCAACAAAAUGGUUUUUAUUUGUAGAUUGUGUUGUUUUCAAGAAGAACAUGGCAGUUUAUGAUCA